AUUGAACGCUGGCGGCAUGCCUAACACAUGCAAGUCGAACGGCAGCACAGCAGUAGCAAUACUGUGGGUGGCGAGUGGCGGACGGGUGAGGAAUACGUCGGAAUCUGCCCAGUCGUGGGGGAUAACUAGCCGAAAGGUUAGCUAAUACCGCAUACGACCGAGAGGUGAAAGCGGGGGACCGCAAGGCCUCGCGCGAUUGGAUGAGCCGACGUCGGAUUAGCUAGUUGGCGGGUAAAGGCCCACCAAGGCGACGAUCCGUAGCUGGUCUGAGAGGAUGAUCAGCCACACUGGAACUGAGACACGGUCCAGACUCCUACGGGAGGCAGCAGUGGGGAAUAUUGGACAAUGGGCGCAAGCCUGAUCCAGCAAUGCCGCGUGUGUGAAGAA
rnacentral:rRNA from 1 species